GAUGAAGAACGUAGCGAAAUGCGAUAAGUAGUGUGAAUUGCAGAAGUACCGUGAAUCAUCGAAUCUUUGAACGCAAAUUGCACUCUCUGGUAUUCCGGGGAGUAUGCCUGUUUGAGGGUCGCUUAACAAACCAUCGAUUUCGUUGCUUUUUUUUUUUAAAAAGUGAUGUUUAUCGUAUUUGAGCCGUCUUUUUUUUUUUAUAUUUAAGUGGCUUAAAAUUGAUUUUUUUGGUACGAUCGAAGCGUAUUUUUAUGAUCAAUUUUUGGUUAAAGAAACGCACACGUACCGUUAUUUAUAUGAUGUAAUACGUUUGACUAUUGGAUUUAGUUCAUUCGUAUACGAUAUCUUUCAAUAUUUGACCUCAAAUCAGGUAAGAACACCCGCUGAACUUAAGCAUAUCAAUAAGCGGAGGA
rnacentral:misc_RNA from 1 species